rnacentral:rRNA from 1 species
UAGGGAAUCUUCCACAAAUGGGCGAAGCUGAUGGAGCAACGCCGCGUGUGUGAUGAAGGGUUUCGGCUCGUAAAACACUGUUGUAAGAGAAGAAUGACAUUGAGAGUAACUGUUCAAUGUGUGACGGUAUCUUACCAGAAAGGAACGGCUAAAUACGUGCCAG